rnacentral:rRNA from 1 species
AGUGAACGCUGGCGGUAGGCCUGACACAUGCAAGUCGAACGGCAGCACAGUAAGAGCUUGCUCUUACGGGUGGCGAGUGGCGGACGGGUGAGGAAUACAUCGGAAUCUACUUUUUCGUGGGGGAUAACGUAGGGAAACUUACGCUAAUACCGCAUACGACCUACGGGUGAAAGCAGGGGAUCUUCGGACCUUGCGCGAUUGAAUGAGCCGAUGUCGGAUUAGCUAGUUGGCGGGGUAAAGGCCCACCAAGGCGACGAUCCGUAGCUGGUCUGAGAGGAUGAUCAGCCACACUGGAACUGAGACACGGUCCAGACUCCUACGGGAGGCAGCAGUGGGGAAUAUUGGACAAUGGGCGCAAGCCUGGUCCAGCCAUACCGCGUGGGUGAAGAAGGCCUUCGGGUUGUAAAGCCCUUUUGUUGGGAAAGAAAAGCAGCAGGUUAAUACCCCGCUGUUCUGACGGUACCCAAAGAAUAAGCACCGGCUAACUUCGUG